rnacentral:lncRNA from 1 species
AUGAAUAAGUGCAAGCUUUACAGAAAGUGAAUUAGAAAGUCUUAUUUUGAUUUGCUGCACUAGGAUCAGAUAGCAUUGGAUAAUGUUGCUGAAUAUUUUCAGGUUGUAGUGGUUUUUCCAUAGUCAGAUAGGGAGCUUUUGUUGGGUUGGAAGAUCUGAGGCUUGGAUAAGUGGAAGAGGAAUAUUUGGCAAAUGGCUCUCCAAUGCUUAAUUUUGGUGCAUUUAGAGGGCAUAAUGACCAAACUUUUGAUGAGGAAAAGAAAUCAAAUCAAAAGUUGAAGGAGACCCUCAUUAUAUCUCUUUUGGAGUGGUUUAGGAUCCUGCUAAUGGUGGCUAAUAGUGCAUCAUUGGACUUUAUGGAUAGCCUAAAUUAUGGAUGAAAGAUUAUAGGGUUGAUGUUUUAUAAAGGGUUGUGUUCUUUGGUGCCUGUUGAAUACCUGAUGUUUACUUUGGGGUGUGCCCUACUUUGAUAGAUGCCUUCUAUAUGAAAUUCUAUUUGGCUAUAAGAAAAGGUCUUUUUUUUUCCCACAACCAAUUCUCUAAUCUGUAUUAGAUUGAGACCCUUGUAAUAAACUUGAAGCUUUAAAAUAAAGAUGGUUCAUAAUUGAAAUUAUAAUACAUGUGUUUGGUCACAGUUAAUAGAGAACUAAAGCUCAGGUUAUGAAAUCACUUACUGUUAAUUAAUUAAUUAAAUAGGAGCAAGGUGUUGGUAUGGAGUUGCAUCUGUAAUGGAUAUAGAUUUGCUAUGGGACGGACAUCAUCUCUUACUUCCACUGCAUCUAUGAGGCUUAGGGCAGUGUGGAGCCUCCCAUUGUGGAUUGAGACUAUGCAAAGGUAGGACACCAGAAAACUUUGAUGACUUUCUUAGAAAUCUUGGUUUCACGAUGCUCAAUAACAACUCAGGAUGGUGGAAAUUGGUUUGCGUUUUGG